AAGAAAGUCAUAGAGGUUAUGUGGUUGGCUUGAAACCAAUUAAUGGGGGUUCGAUUCCUUCCUUUCUUG
rnacentral:tRNA from 6 species